AGGGUUUGAUCAUGGCUCAGGAUGAACGCUAGCGGCAGGCUUAACACAUGCAAGUCGAGGGGUAACAGGAGUGCUUGCACUCGCUGACGACCGGCGCACGGGUGCGUAACGCGUAUAGAACCUACCUUUUACUGAGGGAUAGCCUUUAGAAAUGAAGAUUAAUACCUCAUGGUAUUGCAAUUUGGCAUCAGAUUGUAAUUAAAGAUUUAUUGGUAAAAGAUGGCUAUGCGUCUUAUUAGCUAGAUGGUAAGGUAACGGCUUACCAUGGCAACGAUAAGUAGGGGCCCUGAGAGGGGGAUCCCCCACACUGGUACUGAGACACGGACCAGACUCCUACGGGAGGCAGCAGUGAGGAAUAUUGGGCAAUGGAGGCAACUCUGACCCAGCCAUGCCGCGUGCAGGAAGACUGCCCUAUGGGUUGUAAACUGCUUUUAUACAGGAAGAAACACACCUACGUGUAGGUGCUUGACGGUACUGUAAGAAUAAGCACCGGCUAACUCCGUGCCAGCCGCCGCGGUAAUUC
rnacentral:rRNA from 1 species